CCUACGGGUGGCAGCAGUGGGGAAUAUUGCACAAUGGGGGAAACCCUGAUGCAGCGACGCCGCGUGAGUGAAGAAGUACUUCGGUAUGUAAAGCUCUGUCCGCAGGGAAGAAAAUGACGGUACUUGAGGACGAAGCCCCGGCUAACUACGUGCCAGCAGCCGCGGGAAUACGUAGGGGGCUAGCGUUAUCCGGAUUUACUGGGGGUAAAGGGGGCGUAGACGGCAGUGUAAGUCUGGAGUGAAAGGCGUGGGCUCAACCCCUGGAAUGCUUUGGAAACUGUACGGCUUGAGUGCAGGAGAGGUAAGUGGAAUUCCUAGUGUAGCGGUGAAAUGCGUAGAUAUUAGGAGGAACACCAGUGGCGAAGGCGGCUUACUGGACUGUAACUGACGUUGAGGCUCGAAAGCGUGGGGAGCAAACAGGAUUAGAUACCCCGGUAGUC
rnacentral:rRNA from 1 species